AUGAGAAAUUACUGGUGGGGCGUGCAAAAUGGUAAGAAAAAGAUGGCUUGGAUGGCAUGGGAUAAAUUGGUUCUACCUAAAUCCAAAGGAGGGAUGGGGUUCAGGGAUAUGAAGGCGUUUAAUCAAGCUUUGCUUGCUAAACAAGCCUGGCGACUCCUUGUUGCACCUGAAUCGCUUUGUGCAAGACUACUACGGGCUAAAUAUUAUCCAAAUGGGAAUCUACUAGAUACAAUUUUUCCGAGUAACUCGUGAGCAGUUUGGAAGGGUAUCGAACAUGGAUUGAACUUGGUGAAAAAAGGUAUGAUCUGGCGAGUCGGCAAUGGUAAUCUUAUUCGAAGUUGGCGAGAUCCAUGGAUUCCU
rnacentral:rRNA from 1 species